AACGAACGCUGGCGGCAUGCCUAACACAUGCAAGUCGAGCGAGGACUUCGGUUCUAGCGGCGGACGGGUGAGUAACGCCUGGGAAUGUGCCCUUCUCUACUGAAUAGCGCUCUGAAACUGGGAGUAAUACCGUAUACGCCCUUUCGGGGAAAGAUUUAUCGGAGAAGGAUCAGCCCGCGUUUGAUUAGGUAGUUGGUGGGGUAAUGGCCUACCAAGCCGACGAUCCAUAGCUGGGUUGAGAGGGUGAUCAGCCACACUGGGACUGGGACACGGCCCAGACUGCUGCGGGAGGCAGCAGUAGGGAAUAUUAGACGAUGGGGGCAACCAUGAACGAGCCAUGCCGCGUGAGUGAUGAAGGGCUUAGGGUUGUAAAGCUCUUUCAGCUGGGAAGAUAGUGACGGUACCAGCAGAAGAAGCCCCGGCUAACUACGUG
rnacentral:rRNA from 1 species